rnacentral:lncRNA from 1 species
GUUAAUUAAAAAAUUAUUUACACAUACUAUAAAAAAUAAAUUUUUAUUGCAUUCAAGUUUGUUUAAAUCAUGUCAUUGAAUUUCAUCAUCGCAGAAUUGUCAUCAUUUGUGAAUGGUUAUCCAAAGGUUGAAUUGAUUUCAAUGAACAGGUCAUUAUUUCUCCUAGAAAAUCUGGAAAUAUGGGAUGUGAUGUUGGAUUUAUUCUUUCAGCUGUUUUGCAAAUGCUUUAUCAUAAUGUCAUCCAAUUCCUUUAUUACAUUAAAGGAAAAAUCAGUACAGCAUUAGCAACAUCAUGUGGUGGCAUGUGGCCCACAAGGCAUUGCUGGUACUAUGCUUAAUUUGAUGCUGUUUAUAUCUGGUGUAUCAUGGUACAUCACGUUGGGUUUUCAAGAAAAAAAUUUAUAUGGUUGCAUAUAUGAUGAUCCAAUUUUUUUCUUGAGAACUCCCUGAUAUAGUGCAUGAACAUAUAUAAAUUUUUAUUUGUGUUGAAUGAUUUGUGUUAAGGCACAAUAAUAUAUAUUGAUUUGUAUUAACUCAAAACAAAUUUAAAUUUAAUACAAGUUAUUAAUUUACAGGAUCAAAACACUCCUGUUUCUGGAGGACCUUCAAAUACUCUUGCUAGUAUUCCAUCUGC